rnacentral:rRNA from 1 species
UACGAAGGGGGCUAGCGUUGUUCGGAAUUACUGGGCGUAAAGCGCGCGCAGGCGGCUAUCCAAGUCAGCGGUGAAAGCCCCGGGCUCAACCUGGGAAUGGCAUUGGAAACUGGCUUGCUGGAGUGUGGCAGAGGGGGGUGGAAUUCCGCGUGUAGCAGUGAAAUGCGUAGAGAUGCGGAGGAACACCGAUGGCGAAGGCAGCCCCCUGGGCCAACACUGACGCUCAGGCACGAAAGCGUGGGGAGCAAACAGG